CUGCCUCAGCCUCCCAAGUGGCUGGGAUUACAGGAAGGUGGCUGUUCAGUGAUUGGAAGAUUCUUGACAAAUACAUCGAGACACAUUUUUGGAUGUUUCCAACGCCACAGGCAUUGUUUUAGAUUAGACUCUACAUGAAGAUUCCAAGUAUCACAGCAGAUAUCUGGAGCUCUGACAGUUAUCUUGCAACCAUGAGGUCAAGAAAAGGUCAAGAGAAUCACAGAGAUGACAGCCUUAACAUCACUGGACCACUCACUCAGUGCCAGA
rnacentral:lncRNA from 1 species